GGCAAUGGCAGGUCAGGCGGCCGAGAAGGUGUUCGUCCCCACCGACGCGGAGCUGCUCCAGGCGCAGUCCGACCUGUGGCGCCACAGCCUCUGCUACCUCACGCCCAUGUCGCUCCGCUGCGCCGUCGACCUCGGCGUCCCCACGGCCAUCCACCGCCUCGGCGGCGCCGCGUCCCCGUCCGAACUGGUCGCCGCCCUGUCCCUGCCCGCGUCCAAGCUGCCGUUCCUCGCCCGCCUGCUGCGCCAGCUCGCCACGGCGGGCGUCUUCACCUCCACCGA
rnacentral:lncRNA from 1 species